AGGACGAACGCUGGCGGCGUGCUUAACACAUGCAAGUGGAGCGACGAACCAGGGCUUGCCCUGGGGCAGAGCCGCGAACGGGUGAGUAACACGUGGGUUACCUGCCUCGAUGACCGGGACAACCCGAGGAAACUCGGGCUAAUACCGGAUGUGCCCGCAAGGGGAAAGGAAGCUUCGGCCUCCGCAUCGAGAUGGGCCCGCGGCCCAUUAGCUUGUUGGUGAGGUAACGGCUCACCAAGGCUUCGAUGGGUAGCUGGUCUGAGAGGACGAUCAGCCACACUGGGACUGAGACACGGCCCAGACUCCUACGGGAGGCAGCAGUGGGGAAUCUUGCGCAAUGCGCGAAAGCGUGACGCAGCAACGCCGCGUGGGGGAAGAAGGCUUUCGGGUUGUAAACCCUUUCAGUUGGACGAAGCUUCGCCGGUGAACAGCCGGCCGGAGUGACGGUACCUUCACAAGAAGCACCGGCUAACUACGUGCCAGCAGCCGCGGU
rnacentral:rRNA from 1 species